rnacentral:rRNA from 1 species
GGACUACCCGGGUAUCUAAUCCUGUUUGCUCCCCUUGCUUUCGCGCCUCAGCGUCAGUAUCAGCCCAGAAAACCGUCUUCACCACCGGUGUUCCUCCACAUAUCUACGCAUUUCACCGCUACAUGUGGAAUUCCGUUUUCCCUAACUGAACUCUAGCUGGAAAGUUUCAAAUGCAGCUCCGAGGUUGAGCCCCGGAAUUUCACAUCUGACUUUUCUAGCCGCCUACGCGCCCUUUACGCCCAGUAAUUCCGAUCAAUGCUUGCACCCUCCGUAUUACCGCGGCUGCUGGCAC